GGGCAAUCGGCCUUAUCUGCAUAAUAUUGAUUUUUGUUCUAGCGAUUGUUGGAGUAGUUGCUGGAUUGUUGGGAUGUCAUUUUCAUAAAAAUUGCCCACUCUAACUGUUAUAAUUGUUGAGUUUAUAUAUAUUUUAAAAACUGUUGUCAUUGUCCUCUGUAUAUAACAA